CUCUCAUUCUGCCACUCGGCUGCUUUGGGUAUCCCGGCCUUUGAAACCGUGCUCUGUGAUGCAAGGGAGAGAGAGUUUUCUGAGAGUGUGGGCUCCUCUCCUGCUCGAGCUGCGGGCCCAGUUCCGCACUCUGGAGCCACAGACCUGAGCCCUGGGACGUCUGGAUCUGCUCACAGCUCCCUCCUGGGGACCCACGGCGUUAGGAUCUGGAUGCACUGAGGGAUCUAAACAGCUCCCAGGCUGCCGGAAUGCAAUCAAGUGGAGCCAGAUGUACCGUUGGAGAUUGUUCAGAGGAGGGAUGUUCUGACGGUCCAUCUUCAGGAUGAAGCAGGCUCUUCGGGAGAGCACCCUGGAUGCAAUGUAGCCCUGAGGCAGCAAGAGUACAGUUACUCAUCUUCUCCAGUUUCCUGAGAUCUGAACCUGGUGAAGAAGAUGCCUGAAGCUCGGAGGAAAGGCUUGAACAUGCACAGUGAAUAUCUGAUGGAAUUGCUUUCCAACCUGCAAUCAAUUUUAUCUACUUGACUUAUUUUACACAUUUUCAUUUUUUCACUUGUCAUUUCUACCCCUUUGAAAUUGUGCAAACCCAUGACUGUAUUCUCCUUUUUGUGUUAUAGAACCAGAGUCUGC